rnacentral:rRNA from 1 species
UCGAAUGGUCGGCUAGAGGGGGGGGGAAGGAGGCGGGUGCAAACGUGGUUAGUCAUGAGUUGGGGUAAAGCGGGUGGUGGCGGACGUGUUGGGCGGAUGUGGAAUGCGCAGGGGCAACGUGGGAACUGCAUUCGAGACUGCCAGCGUGGAGGGGUGGGGAGGGAAGGGGAAAUCCUGGUGUAGGGGUGAAAUUCGUAGAUAUCAGGAGGAACACCAGUGGCGAAGGCGGCUUCCUGGACACCAACUGACGCUGAGACGCGAAAGCGUGGGGAGCAAACAGGAUUAGAUACCCUUGUAGUC